AAUGCUUUUUGGUCUCUUGGCGGAGAUCAAGUGUAGUGUCUUUUCUUAUCAUUUUAGUAACUGAUAGGUCCUGUGUGUGAGGACCAAGAAUUAAAUUGAAUUUUUGAACCAGGAGAUGGAAAAGGGGGCUUGCUCCAUUGCUGAACUACUUCCUUUACUGCUGUAAAAACAGACAAACAAUAGACUUAGG
ensembl:snRNA U2 U2 spliceosomal RNA